GCCUCAUUAACACCACCCUGUAGGGCCACCGGUUGGCCUCAUUAACACCACCCUGUAGGGCCACCGGUUGGCCUCAUUAACACCACCCUGUAGGGCCACCGGUUGGCCUCAUUAACACCACCCUGUAGGGCCACCGGUUGGCCUCAUUAACACCACCCUGUAGGGCCACCGGUUGGCCUCAUUAACACCACCCUGUAGGGCCACCGGUUGGCCUCAUUAACACCACCCUGUAGGGCCACCGGUUGGCCUCAUUAACACCACCCUGUAGGGCCACCGGUUGGCCUCAUUAACACCACCCUGUAGGGCCACCGGUUGGCCUCAUUAACACCACCCUGUAGGGCCACCGGUUGGCCUCAUUAACACCACCCUGUAGGGCCACCGGUUGGCCUCAUUAACACCACCCUGUAGGGCCACCGGUUGGCCUCAUUAACACCACCCUGUAGGGCUACCGGUUGGCCUCAUUAACACCACCCUGUAGGGCCACCGGUUGGCCUCAUUAACACCACCCUGUAGGGCCACCGGUUGGCCUCAUUAACACCCCCCUGUAGGGCUACCGGUUGGCCUCAUUAACACCACCCUGUAGGGCCAGUUCACCAUUGAAAUACAUGGAAUUCUACAGUAUUUCAAUGAAGGACAAAAUGACAUGUAUUUCAGUAUGUUCCUUUGUAGUGGGGCCAAUAACAUUAGUACUUUAAGGAAAAACGGUUUAAUAUUUUUUUUUACAUGUUAUAAAAAUUUUAAAAAAUGUUUAGCUCACAUUGAAUAAUUAUAAAGUCUGCGUUACGGUGUCUGAUAGAAUAUACACUUGUUAACAACGAAUGUAGAUAUGAAUACAUGUAGACAUGAAUACAUGCAGUUCUACAGCUUCCAACAUCUUUUCUACACUGGAGGAGGACUACUAAGAUGGCUGUGCGGUGGCUUCAAUACAGCGCCCCCUGUCAGUCAUCUAGGGUUUAUACACAUCUUUGGUCCCACCAUGGAGCUCUGUCUCAGAGCAGACUGUUCACUAGACAAGGGCCUGGUCACAGGUGGGUCCCAGCAUGGAGCUCCGGCCACAGAUCCUAUAGUACAGACAGGGGCCUGGUCUGGUCAUGGAACUCCGCCACUGAGCAUACUCUAGCAAGGGCCUGGUCACAGGUGGGUCCCAGCAUGGAGCUCCACAACAAAGCCUACAGUACAGACAGGGGCCUGGUCAUGGAGCUCCACCACUGAGCAUUCUCUAGACAAGGGACCAGUCACAGGUGGGUCCCAGCAUGGAGCUCCACCACAAAGCCUACAGUACAGACAGGGGCCUGGUCAUGGAGCUCCCCCACUGAGCAUUCUCUAGACAAGGGACCAGUCACAGGUGGGUCCCAGCAUGGAGCUCCGCCACAGAGCCUUCAGUACAGACAGGGACCUGGUCAUGGAGCUCUGUCACACAGCUCACAGUACUACUUAUCAGAGUUGGGGUCAACUCCAUUUCAAAUCAAUCAAUGAUGGAAUUGGAAUUUCUGUUCACUAAAAUAGAAUUGUAGUUUUCUUUUAAUUGAAUUGUAAAAUGAAGCUGAACCCUGGUGUGGAAACAUUCUCCAGUCACCACACACUGAAGGACGUGAAGAGGACGGUUGGCGUAUCCAGACCCUCUAGCAGUCCAGUUUGAUUGAGUUUGUUGAUUAUAAACACUUUUUUCCUGUGUUGUUUACCAGGGUUUCUGGAAAGGGAAGUUGCUCUUUAUCGAUUUGUUUUAGGAAUUGUGCUAGCUGACUGUUCUAGUGAGUGAAGAGCCAGCUGCUUUGAGUCUCGUCUGACCCGCUGUCUCUCUGUGUGGCCACCACGGUGUUCAGUAAGCUGUGGAGAGGGGAUUCGACAGAGACAGGUUAUCUGACCCGCUGUCUCUCUGUGUGGCCACCACGGUGUUCAGUAAGCUGUGGAGAGGGGAUUCGACAGAGACAGGUUAUCUGACCCGCUGUCUCUCUGUGUGGCCACCACAGUGUUCAGUAAGCUGUGGAGAGGGGAUUCGACAGAGACAGGUUAUCUGACCCGCUGUCUCUCUGUGUGGCCACCACAGUGUUCAGUAAGCUGUGGAGAGGGGAUUCGACAGAGACAGGUUAUCUGACCCGCUGUCUCUCUGUGUGGCCACCACAGUGUUCAGUAAGCUGUGGAGAGGGGAUUCGACAGAGACAGGUUAUCUGACCCGCUGUCUCUCUGUGUGGCCACCACAGUGUUCAGUAAGCUGUGGAGAGGGGAUUCGACAGAGACAGGUUAUCUGACCCGCUGUCUCUCUGUGUGGCCACCACAGUGUUCAGUAAGCUGUGGAGAGGGGAUUCGACAGAGACAGGUUAUCUGACCCGCUGUCUCUCUGUGUGGCCACCACAGUGUUCAGUAAGCUGUGGAGAGGGGAUUCGACAGAGACAGGUUAUCUGACCCGCUGUCUCUCUGUGUGGCCACCACAGUGUUCAGUAAGCUGUGGAGAGGGGAUUCGACAGAGACAGGUUAUCUGACCCGCUGUCUCUCUGUGUGGCCACCACAGUGUUCAGUAAGCUGUGGAGAGGGGAUUCGACAGAGACAGGUUAUCUGACCCGCUGUCUCUCUGUGUGGCCACCACAGUGUUCAGUAAGCUGUGGAGAGGGGAUUCGACAGAGACAGGUUAUCUGACCCGCUGUCUCUCUGUGUGGCCACCACAGUGUUCAGUAAGCUGUGGAGAGGGGAUUCGACAGAGACAGGUUAUCUGACCCGCUGUCUCUCUGUGUGGCCACCACGGUGUUCAGUAAGCUGUGGAGAGGGGAUUCGACAGAGACAGGUUAUCUGACCCGCUGUCUCUCUGUGUGGCCACCACAGUGUUCAGUAAGCUGUGGAGAGGGGAUUCGACAGAGACAGGUUAUCUGACCCGCUGUCUCUCUGUGUGGCCACCACAGUGUUCAGUAAGCUGUGGAGAGGGGAUUCGACAGAGACAGGUUAUCUGACCCGCUGUCUCUCUGUGUGGCCACCACGGUGUUCAGUAAGCUGUGGAGAGGGGAUUCGACAGAGACAGGUUAUCUGACCCGCUGUCUCUCUGUGUGGCCACCACGGUGUUCAGUAAGCUGUGGAGAGGGGAUUCGACAGAGACAGGUUAUCUGACCCGCUGUCUCUCUGUGUGGCCACCACGGUGUUCAGUAAGCUGUGGAGAGGGGAUUCGACAGAGACAGGUUAUCUGACCCGCUGUCUCUCUGUGUGGCCACCACGGUGUUCAGUAAGCUGUGGAGAGGGGAUUCGACAGAGACAGGUUAUCUGACCCGCUGUCUCUCUGUGUGGCCACCACGGUGUUCAGUAAGCUGUGGAGAGGGGAUUCGACAGAGACAGGUUAUCUGACCCGCUGUCUCUCUGUGUGGCCACCACGGUGUUCAGUAAGCUGUGGAGAGGGGAUUCGACAGAGACAGGUUAUCUGACCCGCUGUCUCUCUGUGUGGCCACCACAGUGUUCAGUAAGCUGUGGAGAGGGGAUUCGACAGAGACAGGUUAUCUGACCCGCUGUCUCUCUGUGUGGCCACCACAGUGUUCAGUAAGCUGU